GUUACGUUCAAAACAAAAUGGAGGAAAUGGGAAGCCGGGCGUCGGGGGGUGGGGCUGACAAAGGAGCACUUAAAAUUGGGACGAUUCGGCCUUAAGAAUUGAUGGUGUGUCAAAGUGGCGUCUGGUCGCGAUGGAAACCUGACAGCCCAGGGAAAGAGCUCCCCGCCAGGCGAGGGACCUGUCAUGAUGAUGUCAUCGGUGGCGGUCGCCAAGGCGACGGCGACGACACCAGACUCAUCUCACAAGGGCUGUGCUUGUCUGCAGUAACUCUGCUGUCCCUCCCUCACGACGACAGAAGAGCGAACAGAAGUGAUGUUUCCUGGCUAACCCGACGGUGUGGUUUGUUUACACCGCUCGGCGCUAUCAGGUGAGGAAGCGAGGCGCCAGAGCGCGCCAGAUGGAAAUUGACAUCGGUUUCAGCGGUGGGAGAGCAAUGGCGGGAGAAAGUGAGGACGGGAGGCAGACUGAGAAAUGAACUCGAAGACGCAAAGAGACAAGAAAAUACAACCGGCUCGAAUGUCUUCAACACAACCUGCCACCUUGUCUCUUUAAAUACGGCCUUUAAUGGAGAUGCUCUCGUCUCUUCUAUUUCCUUCUUUUUUUGGGGGGGUGGCGGGGGCAAUAUCAGGGAAGACCUCCACCGUCUGAAAAGGAAGUCCAUCGCAUGGUGGCAAAUGCACACCGUGGUAGGGCGCGUGCCUCUGCCUGUAGGGGGCAGCGGAGUCCUCCACUCCAGAAUGCAGCAAUGCCUCCAAACAAGGACUUGCCAAAGGUUUUCAAAAACCACUUUGACUCACUUCAUCUUUUCUUUGGGAAACAUGGAAAGAACAAGCUAUGCUAAACAGCC